rnacentral:rRNA from 1 species
GGCGAACGGGUGAGUAACACGUGAGUAACCUGCCCUUGACUUUGGGAUAACUUCAGGAAACUGGGGCUAAUACCGGAUAGGAGCUCCUGCUGCAUGGUGGGGGUUGGAAAGUUUCGGCGGUUGGGGAUGGACUCGCGGCUUAUCAGCUUGUUGGUGGGGUAGUGGCUUACCAAGGCUUUGACGGGUAGCCGGCCUGAGAGGGUGACCGGCCACAUUGGGACUGAGUCACGGCCCAG